rnacentral:rRNA from 1 species
CAGGACGAACGCUGGCGGCGUGCUUCAUACAUGCAAGUCGAACGAGAAAUUACCUCGGGGUAAUGGAAAGUGGCGGACGGGUGAGUAAUAUGUAGAGAAUCUGCCUUCAAGCGGGGGAUAGCAGUUGGAAACGACUAUUAAUACCCCAUAUGAGCGUAACUGAAAUGUUAUUCUUGAAAACUCCGGUGCUUGGAGAUGAGUCUGCAUCUGAUUAGCUAGUUGGGGGUGUAAUGGACCACCAAGGCGACGAUCAGUAGCUGGUUUGAGAGGAUGAUCAGCCACAAUGGGACUGAGACACGGCCCAUACUCCUACGGGAGGCAGCAGUAGGGAAUUUUGCGCAAUGGGCGAAAGCCUGACGCAGCAAACCGCCGCGUGAUCGAGACGCUUUUCGGAGUGUAAAGAUCUGUCACAGGGGACGAACGAUGACGGUACCCUGAGAGGAAGCACCGGCUAACUCCGUGCCAGCAGCAGC